rnacentral:rRNA from 1 species
UCUACGGGGGGCAGCAGUGGGGGAUAUUGCACACUGGGGGAAACCCUGAUGCAGCGACGCCGCGUGGGUGAAGAAGCGCCUCGGCGCGUAAAGCCCUGUCAGCAGGGAAGAAAAUGACGGUACCUGAAGAAGAAGCACCGGCGAACUACGUGCCAGCAGCCACGGUAAUUCGUAGGGGGCAAGCGUUAUCCGGAUUUACUGGGGGUAAAGGGGGCGCAGCCGGGGAUGCAAGCCAGGAGGGAAAGCCCGGGGCCCAACCCCGGGACUGCCCUUGGAACUGCGUGGCUAGAGUGCAGGAGGGGCAGGCGGAAUUCCUGGUGUAGCGGUGAAAUGCGUAGAUAUCAGGAGGAACACCGGUGGCGAAGGCGGCCUGCUGGACUGCAACUGACGUUGAGGCCCGAAAGCGUGGGGAGCAAACAGGAUUAGAUACCCUAGUAGUC